GACAAAAACAUUUUGUCACAAACUUUAUCCUCAACGUGAUAUAUGUAUAUAUAUGUAAGGUACAAUACCUCUCAAACUAGUUCCAUAAGAAAACCCAUUGAGAACUUUUACUUUUGCCUUAAGUUGAGGAGCUCUUUCUUGUUCCGGUUCAGAAGAGGUUGCGCAGUCAAUGUAAAGAAAGUACUUAGCUUGCUAUUGUAACUAGUUCCACAAGAAAACCCAUUGAAAACAAACACACACACAUAUAUAGCUACUAUAUAGAAGUGGCUCAAAGCAAGUUGCUUCUGGUCGACAUGCUUGCUUCCUCACAGGAGUAAUUUAGUCAAUAUUUGGCCUUCUUUUGGUUCAAGCGGUGCCCUGCUUUGGUUAUUGAUAGGGACGCCAUAAACACAUUGAUUUUACUCGUCGAUGCUUCAUCUCCAUGCCGGACUGGAGUUUAGUUGGAGGAUUGUUUUGGCAACUAUGAUAGAAGUUUGGGGUCAGCUUGUAGUAAUGUGGAUGGUGUUGGUGGGGAUGACAUUUUUGUCCCUAUGCUUACUUUGCUUCUUAGAUUUGAUAUCAAGCCUGUUGCUACUCUUUCCAAAUCAUUGUAAUAUUUUCAGGACUAUAAUGAAAAUGGAGAGUUUUCAUUGACCAAGUUCUCUUAUUUUGUUCAUACACUAGCAGCUAAAAAGGUUCUCAUCUAGAGAUAAUCUCAACUAUACUUAUAGUUCUUAUUAACUCUUCUGUGCCACAUAUUUUUGGAUUUAGGUUUCCUGCUCAGACUCCUUGCAUAUUUAUCUCAAUGAGAAUUUUCAGGUAGAGAGGCAAGCUCAAUCAUUUUGCAAUUAUUCCACCAGAGUACUAUGAAAAUAUGUUGCUCGAUUUAGAUGUUCAUCGUCUCAUCACUUUCAUUUUGUCUUCCAGUUCUAAUUUUGAAUCAUCAAAAUUAUGAAGAUUACACAUUUUUGUAUCCUUGAAGAGAGCGGCAUUAGAAGAAUUUAUAGUAUCAUUUAUUAUGUUGGAAAGUUGAUUUCCAUUUUUACAGGCAUGAUAAUGGAGGAAUCAACAUCAUCAGUUUGGUAUAAUUUAAGGAUACUACAUCCAUGCAGAGAAGCAAUUAUACUUAAUUAUGAUUUGGCUCUAUUGUUUCAGCCUAUACUCAUGUUAGGCAUCACACUUGGUAUUUCUCUCAAUGUAUUGUUUUCCGCUACUGGCUCAUCACUAUCCUCAUCAUCAUCCUCUUCAUGGGACUUCAUCAAGAUCAUUUUUUAAAGACAUUAAGAUAUGGAAGGAAGAGACAAUUCUCAAGGGUCUAAGUUCAAGGAAAUUGCAUGGAGAAUUCAUUGAUGAGCUUGGAAACUUGAUUAGGAGCUUCGUGUGAGCAUGACAGUAUUUUGAGGCUGUUCGAAAAGGCAAAGCUCAAAUUCUAUGAGUUGGAGCCCGAGGGGUCAGCCUACAGGUCCAAGUACUAGCUACCAGCGUUGAUUCGAGCCAACUGCUGUCUUGAUAGGAGUCGAGGGUGAGCACAUAGCGUUAUGGAGUUUUCUAUCUCCCUCUGUACAUAUAUUUUGCCUGUCUUUUACUUUUUGACACAUCCCUAUUUUUGUGGUCCACUUUUGGGACUUGUACUCUUUUUGUAGUAGCUAUGUACUUGUGACUUCCAGGUUUUGAGAGAAUAUUUUUAUUUGUAUAUAUGUUUCUUAGCUUCCGUCGUUCA